UGCAGAGGUGGCAAGCGUUGUUCGGAAUUACUGGGCGUAAAGGGCGCGUAGGCGGCCUGCUAAGUCGAACGUGAAAUCCCUGGGCUCAACCCAGGAACUGCGUCCGAUACUGGUUGGCUUGAAUCCGGGAGAGGGACGUGGAAUUCCAGGUGUAGCGGUGAAAUGCGUAGAUAUCUGGAGGAACACCGGUGGCGAAGGCGACGUCCUGGACCGGCAUUGACGCUGAGGCGCGAAAGCCAGGGGAGCAAACGGG
rnacentral:rRNA from 1 species